AAAUAUAAAUUAUAACAAGAUGUAGAAAAUUAGAGAACGUAUGAUGCGGAUUUCAAAAUAAAGUAACUGACAACACUCUGAACUUUGUAUACUUAGUUGCCUGAUCUGUGCAAAGAUUAAUAGGGUACAGUUGUGAACUGACAAUAAUAGAAAGCCACGUAAAGUUGCUGAAAGUCUCAGGAUCCGAGAAGUCACACUGAAGAAAAACUGGAUAGCACUUUCUGAUUUCAUUAGAGACAUUAACUGAUCACAUAGUUUUGUUUCAAGAACUCUCAAGCAUUAUGAAGAAACAAGCUUGUUUGUGUUAUGAGGAAUAUGUAGGGGGACACCACAGAAAACGAGCGCGUGGUGAGACCGUGUAAUUCAGAGGCUUUCGCUUAACGAUCGAUUCAGGAUUGUUGUAGGAAAUUCUUGCCAAUGAGCGAAUACUUUGGACGGACGACAACUGGUGGUUUGUGUUCUUCAGUGACGGAUAUAUGUUCAAUUUGGUUGGCUCCAGUAAUAGACAAUACGUGAGACGUCUGAAAAUGGAAACAUUGCUCCCUAAAUGUGUGAAGAAAUCAAUAACGUGCUCACAAAGUUUUCGACGAUUGUUUUCACCCAGACAGGUAUCGCGAAUGUCGAAAUUACUUUAUAGGAGUCAGGAAAUGUUUUAAAAACACUUCUAACAAUGACGAGAGAUCCGUGGAAACACUAUUCCUUACUGUAAUUUCCUUUAAUAUACUAAUGCAAAUCUAAAGGAAGAUAAUGAUGUAAUACCGAUUUACCUCCGUUAUUCUGUAAUUUGUAUUGGUUCUACAUUAAUAUGUAUUUGAGAUGCGGUGUAAAAAUGAUGGGGAAUUAAACGCUGAAAUCUAA